CACAAAUUAUUUUCCGAUUGUAAAAGGUUUCACAGAAUUGCCCUUGUCGACGUGGAGGGAUUUUUUUCCUUCUUUCAGUUUGUUUUUGUGGGACUACUUCAGUUACCUCAAGCAGGUCUCGAACUGCUAUCAUCUUGAUCAACUUUUUAAAGCCUUGUUUAUUUGUUUUUACUUUAUGCGCAUUGGUGUUUUGCCAUGGGUGUCCUGUUCCCCUGGAGCCGGAGUUACAGACAACUGUGAGCUGCCAUGUGGGUGCUCGGAAUGGAACCCAAGACUUCUGGAAGUUGAGGCAUCAAGAACAGACAGACUGGGACAGACAUACCAAAGAAAGAUUCCACAUAAGUCUGUCUUGCAAAUAUUUAUUGAGAGACAGCUAUAAGCUAAGCUCUUGGGAUCUAAUGACAAUGAAGACAGAGACAAAUUCUUUGUGGUCUCAAAGAGAUUACUCACCCCUGGA
rnacentral:lncRNA from 1 species